UACGAAGGGGGCUAGCGUUGUUCGGAAUCACUGGGCGUAAAGAGCUCGUAGGCGGUUUGUCGCGUCUGCCGUGAAAGUCCGGGGCUCAACUCCGGAUCUGCGGUGGGUACGGGCAGACUAGAGUGAUGUAGGGGAGACUGGAAUUCCUGGUGUAGCGGUGAAAUGCGCAGAUAUCAGGAGGAACACCGAUGGCGAAGGCAGGUCUCUGGGCAUUAACUGACGCUGAGGAGCGAAAGCAUGGGGAGCGAACAGG
rnacentral:rRNA from 1 species